UAACCAAAGUACGUCGGAGCUGCUCCGGCAAGGUGUUCUGAUUUAUCCGGGGCCGGCGCGGGGUCCGGGAGCCCCCUCCCGGGGAGGCGGGGGCGAGCAGCGCCUACCUUGUUGGAGGCCAUCUCACUGACGGAGUGCCUGGUCUGCAGGGUCUCCAGCUGGUCCAGACACCAGUCCAGCUCCUCCAGGGUCUCGCUGGCCAGUUUCUGUCCCCAGCCCGGGCCCCCGCUAAGUACCAGACUUGGGAGUGUUGGGGCGGACAUGGACGGGCAGACAAGAACAACGGCUCCAGAAGGCACGGAGUUGACAACGCGCCGCAUCUUCACCUUGAGAAUGGUCUAAGAGCCCUCUUAAAGGAGCCGCAGGGUGAAUGUGCCACACACUAUGGGCACUGGACACACGUCCUGCAUACGUGCUCCCCCAGUCCGCAGACCUGCGAAUCAGAGACCGGGAUGCUCUUGUGAUGCCAAAGGAGAAGGUCUGCAAGGGUGUUUCUGCCCACCAGGUGCAGAAUAAACUACAAACGUGAGAAAAAGGAAGAGACCACGUCCACAGACACCGUGUGGAAGCUGGUUCCGUUUUCGGAAGCUGACCCUGGGGACCUUGGGCACUCAACAUUAAAAGGAUCGAUUGCAGAGAACCUCACUACACUAAACAAAACUUUGAGAGAGGAAAAUAAUCCAAACUCCGAAGAGUCACAUCUUACAAAACUCGGUUAUCCUCAAUUACAAAGAAUACGCUGAAAAGCUUACGUGAUGUUGGUGAGAUCCCCUUUCCUUGGUCUUCAAAUCUACAGGUGGUCAAGGAGAAGAAACUCUGCCCUUGAAAUUCAGACUCCAUAAAUGAUCAGUGGCACAACAGAGAGUUUUCACAGACUGAAUCUUCUGGCUUCUGGAAUUUACCAGAUAGGUUUUUGCAGCAAAUUUGUAAAAGUUAGAAUAACUUUCAAAGUAUUUGUUACAUGGGCCACUGGCUCAUUGUUAUCAAGGAUUCUUGGACUGUUUGGUAUUCACUUUGAGGACUCUGUGUUAAAAUUUGCCUCUUUUAUUCCUUUUCCUUUUCUGCAUCAAUCUAGGUAAAUACAUACUCUAGGUGGACAAACAGCUGCCUAAACCUUGACAGGUAAAUUAAAAAGUGAGAUUAGACCUUUUUCCCCUACCAAAAAUAACAACCUUAAAGAUAAUUUAAAAUAGUAAGUAUGAAGUGUUUUAUCUGAAUAGCCUUUCCCUGAUUACGGGAAUAUAAAAAUACAACUGAUUCUUAUAAAAAUGGAAACGUUACAUAACGAUGUAAUGUAGAAAGUCCCUUGUAACCCCAUACCCUAAGGAUCACAAAUAAUAAGUAAGCCUAUGAUCAUAACACAUUUUCAUUUUACUUAAUACCUUCCAUAUGCAAGUAUAGAGCAAUCUAAUUGAAAUGGUAGUACAUCUACUAUGUGGUUUGGUUUUAUUUUUGCUUUUUUCCUCCCUCUCUACUAUAUAAAAUAAGGAUGUAGGACAUUUUAAGAGGAAAUUAACUUAUUUUAGGUUAUUUCAGUUGUCUAUAGUGAGCAUGUCCAGUGGGGUAUAGAUGCAAAACCAUUGUGCCUAGGAUGUGUUCACUGCCAUUUUUCCGGCCACUGGUUACACAUGGAAGCCAGGAAUCCCUUCUCCAUACCUCUAAGGCUUGUGCUCCAAGCCUUUCAAAGUCUGAGCCCCAAAGGAACCUCCCCAGUAUAAGUAAUCUCCCCAUUUUCACCAACUUCUCAAACCUGGAAAUACAGGCCUUGGACUUAGCUGGGGGUGGCACUACAUUAUUAUUAUUAUAUUUCAGCAUUUACUUUUCAAUUGUAAAAGGGGACAGUAAUUCAGGAAAGUUUCAAUGCUUUAAACUUUUUUUUCUUAAUUUUUAAAAUUCUUAAGAUUUAUAUAUUCAUGAGAGACACACAGACAGAGAGAAAGAGAGGCAGAGACACAGGCAGAGGGAGAAGCAGGCUCCAUGCAGGGAGCCUGACGUGGGAUUCAAUCCCAGGUCUCCAGGAUCACACCCUGGGCUGAAGGUGGCGCUAACCUGCUGAGCCACCCGUGCUGCCCAGUUUCAGUGCUUUAUACUUAAAUACAGGACUUGCCUUUAAAAAGGCAGUAUAGCAACAAGAGGGACAACCUAAUUCAGAAGAUCUACUAUUUGUCCAAAUCAUAGAUGACCCACUUUGACAAUCAGCAUUCGGGUACAGCCCUAAUGUGGUACGUAUAGGUAUUUUAAGUUCUGACUACUUCUGCAUGCAUUGUAUGAAUCUGGAGAAGGGAAAAACAAUGACUGGAACACAUCUACAUGUCAAUAAGUAUAAAAACAAGUUCUGGCAGAGUAAAGAAAUUUGUUCUAUAAAACUGUUGCUCAAAUAAUUAUUGCCGAUAUUAGUACAGAGAUGAGAAUACUACUUUUUCCAAAUCCCUUAGUUUAUAGGCAAUAUAGCUAGCCACAGUUUUUUGGGAUCAUUAUUAAAGUUUAACUUUUAGGAAUUUUUACCCCAAAUGUUCUAAGACAUCGAGUAACUGACCUUUUCAUCCCCAGUAAAAAAAAAAAAAAAAAAAAAAAACCUCGAUGCAGAGUUGCCAGCUAUCCUACAGGAAAUUGAGUCACCACACCAAACAACACACCUAAAUGUCAUUGACAGCUAACAGGACAAAAACAGUGACCCAGUUUAAUUUUGGAUUUUACCAAGAACACAUACUGCAUUCAUUAAUAAAAUGCUUUCUCUCUAGAGAGUAUUCACUGUGGUACUACUUGAAAAUAGUAUAUGAAAUCUCUUUUUUUUUCCAACUGUCCAAAAUCUUGCUAAGUCAAGGAGCUACAAGGGAGAAAAAUGCCCAAGCCCAAUUAUUAGCUCUAUCCCGUAAAAGCUAGGAAGAGGGCUCUGGGACAGCAAGUGCAAAAUAACUUGAGCUCUUGGAAGUCCCCUCCUACAGCAGUGUCGGGUUUUUUUCAAGGCACCCUUGAACUAUGUAACACCCCUGUUUCUGCUCAGGAUUUUCUGUGAACAAACAGUCCUCAAUUCUUGCAGGCCAGCACUUGGCUUCCGUCAUUGUGAUGUGAUCAAGGAUUCCCCUGACACAUGGCCUGAACUGGUGCCAGGGGCUCCCAGAGAAGAUGCUGAAGCAGCAGCUUCCCUUUGCAAAGGAAAAAAAGUAAUCGCCUCAGAGCCACAGCAGUUAGUUAGAGGUUGAGGUCGUUUUCUUGGGAAAUGUUCAGCCAAUUACUCUUAUCUACAACCUAUAGCAACACUGACCAAUGAGAUAAAAGGAUCCAUUCUACAAGAUGUGUAAUAGUGUGGAUGUUGGUCUUUCUUUUUUCUUUUCUUUUGCUUCUUCUCUUCUCUUUUCUUUUCUUUCCUUUCUCCGUUCCCUCCCUUCCUUCCUUCAGUAUUUGAGUGAUUAAAGAUCUAUGUAACUUAGUCAUAAUUCCUAGAUAGGCCAACUGGAGUAAAUGAAGAGAACAGGUACAAAAUCACUUAUCAUGGGUACCAUUUGCUUACAUUUAGUUAAAAAACAAAUAUAAAUUAAAAAGUUGAUUCAGUUUUUCUUAAAAUUAAAAAAAAACUUCACUAAAUAUCUUCAAAGAGCAAAUACUUAAAUAUGUAUCUUUCUAACUGAUUCCAGCUUCUCCUGUCCUAAUUCCUACCAAAAUUGCCUCUUUGUUCCUAAGGAUGGAGUUGAUAGUGUCUAAAGUAGGGAGAACUGGAGAAAAAUGAUUCCUAUUUCACCACGUAUUGCUUCGAGCUAGUUCCCCCUUGCAUUUGCUACAGUAAAAGAUUUGUCCAGGUUGGUUCUAACUUUUGCUGACUGAUUUUUUUCCCCCUCUAUUCAUUUUAUCUGAUGGGAAAUACAUAAAGGAGUUGGAUUUACUUUCAGUGUGUACAUGUAACAGGUUUAAGUAGAGCUUGCCAGUGGCAAGCUGCUCUCACUUCCAAGUGUAUUACUGGCACCAAGUUCUUGUUUUGAAGUAUUUUAAAAUCUUAUGAAAUAUAUAAAAUUUCACUUAGUACUUCCAAAAACCUCCAAAGGGAAGAUGUACAUAAUUUUGUGAGGUUUCUUUUUUAUUUUUAUCUUCCUACAAUCUACAAUUAUUUCUAGUGCCGCCUAAGGCUCUAGUAGAAUUUUUUAAAUGAAAUAAACACAAGAUUAGGUUUCACUGACUUCUAGGACUCUCAGUAAUUCAACAAAUAUUUGUUUAGCACCAACUCUGUGUCAUGCAUUUUAUUAGAGUCUGCAAAAACAAUGUGUCUAAAAGACUGUGUCCCUUAUCCAACGAAAACCUAGACUUUGUGGAGAGGAUUUCAGCAUCCUCUAUUGUAGAAAGCAUUCUGAAAGAAAAUAACAUGGAAGCGGCUAUUAGAAAGUAAAAAAGGCUUAUUUAAAUCAGAUUGGUAUAGAGUCGGAGUGGGAGGCCAAAUCCCAAAGAAUGAAAUAGGAGGUAAGUGAAGAGUGGUGGAAGAGAGUUUAAGAGAGAACAUGUGA